UCCUGCUUGACGCAGGCAGUUUCCUUAGAGUUCCCAGCUUAACCUGUUGGCAACUAAGGAUGAGGGUUGCGCUCGUUGCGGGACUUAACCCAACAUCUCACGACACGAGCUGACGACAGCCAUGCAGCACCUGUCUCUGAUCCAGCCGAACUGAAGCUCUCAUUACAAGAGCGGCGAUCAGGAUGUCAAGGUCUGGUAAGGUUCUUCGCGUUGCCUCGAAUUAAACCACAUGCUCCACCGCUUGUGCGGGUCCCCGUCAAUUCCUUUGAGUUUUAAUCUUGCGACCGUACUCCCCAGGCGGGAUGCUUAACGCGUUAGCUACGACACCGAAUAUAAAACCCGACAUCUAGCAUCCAUCGUUUAGGGCGUGGACUAC
rnacentral:misc_RNA from 1 species